rnacentral:rRNA from 1 species
AGUGAACGCUGGCGGUAGGCCUAACACAUGCAAGUCGAACGGCAGCACAGUAAGAGCUUGCUCUUACGGGUGGCGAGUGGCGGACGGGUGAGGAAUACAUCGGAAUCUACUUUUUCGUGGGGGAUAACGUAGGGAAACUUACGCUAAUACCGCAUACGACCUACGGGUGAAAGCAGGGGAUCUUCGGACCUUGCGCGAUUGAAUGAGCCGAUGUCGGAUUAGCUAGUUGGCGGGGUGAUGGCCCACCAAGGGGACGAUCCGUAGCUGGUCUGAGAGGAUGAUCAGCCGCACUGGAACUGAGACAGGGUCCAGACUCCUACGAGAGGCAGCAGACGGGAAUAGUGGACAAUGGGCGCAAGCCUGAUACAGUCAUACCGCGUGGGUGAAGAAGGCCUUCGGGUUGUAAAGCCCUUUUGUUGGGAAAGAAAAGCAGCAGGUUAAGACCCCGCUGUUCUGACGGUACCCAAAGAAUAAGCACCGGCUAACUUCGUG